GCUACAGCAGGCGGGGAUAUCACAGCGGCCUUCGAAGCCGUUAUUGGGGGUUCGAAUCCCUCCGGGAGCA
rnacentral:tRNA from 7 species